rnacentral:misc_RNA from 1 species
UUUCACAGAAGAUUUCCAGUGCCAUGAAAUGAUGGAGAUUCCGACUCGUCGAAAUACGAGAUCUAUACGAGUUACAUCCAGAAGACCAUUGCAGGGUAGGAGCAGACGUCAAAAUAACAAUCCGGUUAUUCUAAAUGAUGACGAUGCUGAGCCGCAAAAUGUAUCCUGUAUUGAUCUGACAGAUUUGGAUGCAGAUUUCAUUGAUUUGACGAGUCCUGCCCCUAAUGACGCAAGCAUUAUCAUUCUUCCUGGAACAGAAUCUACAGAACCAAGGGCAAGGCCUAGAACAAGUAGGAGGGGUUCAAGGACCAGAAGGCAAUCUGACAGAGUUAACUUGGAUGAUUCAGAGAAUGAUGUCAUUGAAAUCUCGGAGUCUUACCAAGCCUUGCCUCUUCCUCUGUCCUUUGAGGAUGCAGGAAAUGAAUCUUUCAAUGCCAAUGAUUCUUUGAGAUCACCAAGGCAAGAAAUUAGCUGUCCAAUUUGUAUGGAUAACAAAAAACAGAUUCUGAUCCACAGAUACAGAGAAGUGGGAGACAGUUGAUUUCUACAGUGUGUGGUCAUGUGUUUUGUGAGCCUUGUAUCAAAGCAUCCAUUACAACUCAACGAUGUUGUCCAACCUGCAGGAAGAAGCUGACCCAGCGACAAAUCCAUCCUCUGUAUAUAUGAUGUCUAUGAAUGGUGACAAUAGGAGCGUACUUGUAAACAUUUCACAUUUGAUAUUCUCUCUGUUUUUGUAGAUAUCUUAGUAUUAAGAUUCACUUCAUUCUUAUUUGUGUAGAUGCAAGUGUUAAUGGGAGUUAUCUGGAUGCACAUCAGCAUACUAGUAUUUGAACAGAUGAUGUUGAUUGACAAUCACUUUAUUUUCUUUAUUCUCCUUAGAAUAAAUUGAAGUUUGUCAUGUAAUAUAUAGUACAGGGUUUUAAUUAUUACAGAGAGAUUUCAGAUUAAGUAUUUCAUCAACACUGACUAUUGUUUUGCUUGCCAUGCCAUUUGAGGGUUCUACUUAUGGGUUGGCAAGCACAAGAUUUUUUAUGAUUUGGUAAAAAUAUUUCACUGGUCUGUUAAAAGAAUGAGGAGUCUCUGCCAUGUUGAUAAAAUUUGAAUCAGUUAAGGUUAUAUGUGUGAAAGAGAUUUUUUUGGUCAUUGCUAGGGGGUUUGAAUGAGUUUAAUCUUUAUCAAAUAUUAAUUUUUCAUAAACCAUUACUACAAGAAAAUAGAUUUAAGAUAAUUGAAAUUCCUCUGUAAAAUUCUUAUUUUCAUAGCACAGAGACUUUUAUUUAAACAAAAUUUGUUUUUAAAUUGUCUAAUAUAGAUACUUUUCUUCUUUUUGAUGUAAAUUCUCAUGCCUCUUUUAAAAAUGAUGUACAUGUACAUUACUUUUCAUGUAAAAUGAUGUCGUAUUUUAACCAGUUUUCUACUUUUGAAUCCAUAAUUCUGUUCAUUGAUGCCAAAAUUUGUAAAGUUUUCAUUUGGAGCAUUUUGUAUUGUCAGUUAAAGAAGUUCAAAUGACAUUAAAGCAUUGAAAAAGC